rnacentral:tRNA from 1 species
AUCAAUCUAGUUUACUAAAAACGAUAGCUUGUCGAGCUUUAGAGACAAAUUAAUUUGUGGUUGAUG